AUUCUCCGUACAUCUCUGUUUAUAAAUAAAUCACACGUGAUUUGAUUGACGUUAGGGUUAGGGUGAUUUAUUUAUAAACAGCUAGAAGAAAACGGAUAAUACUGCUUAUGGAAGAGAGAAAUCCAGGAAGUUAUGAGACAACAGUGAGCUCAAGCCUCUUAUUAAUCUUGGACAUCACAGUUAAUUACAAAGGAGCAGGAUAACUGAUGAUAUGCAGUUCUCAACAAGACUAAGAUUCUGGAAGCACAAUAUAUUAUAUAUACCUACAACAGAGCCCUCUUCCUCAAUUUCCUCCCCCAAGAAAUCCCUCCCUAACUGAAAUAUUCUGCUGCUGUAUUUAAAUAUAUCAUCAGAAAAAAAAGUAAUCAUAAUUCAUUAAAAUGACAGAUCUAUCGGACAUUCAAAGAGGUUAAAUUGUUGGUGCUUGUAUGGCAGGGCCUAGCGUAACGAAAACAACCGAAAUGUUUGCUGUCUCAAAAGUAAUGACAGCCUUUGAGAAAAAGGGAAAACCUCAUCAAAACAAGACUCCGGAAGAAAACCAAAACUGUCAGAUAGGGACUGUUGGACUCUUACACAAAUUGUUCGGAUUUCUUGGAAGGGCUGCAAUCAGAAAACCACUACUUUCAAAAACAAAUGUUGCAAAGCGUUUAGAGUGAAGUAAAAACCUACAGAACUGGCCCCCUAGAACAGUGGAAGAAUGUUAUUUUCUUGCACGAGUCAUCUUUUACCUUAUUUCCGACCACUGGCCGAGUAUAUGUGUGGAGACAGGCAAAAGAAGCAUUUGACCCAGACUGCCUUCUUCCAACUGUUAAACAUCAAGGAGGAUCUGUGAUGAUCGGGAAGGGGGAGGGGCUAUAUCUUGGAAAUCCGCCGGCCCAAUGGUUUCCCUUCAUGGCAGAAUUAAUAGUCAGGACUAUUUAAGUAUUUUAUCUGAUCAAGUUCAUCCUAUGGUUGCAGAACUGUUUCUGGAGGGAAACGCAAUCUUUCAGGAUGAUAAUGCACCAAUUCACACAGCUAAAGUUGUUACUGAAUGGCACAAGGAACAUUCUAGUGAAGUUGAACAUCUUAUCUGGCCACCAUAGUCCCCAGAUCUCAAUAUUAUUGAACAUUUAUGAUGCAUUUUAGAAAAUCAAGUAAGGAGUCAAUAUCCUCCACCAUCAUCACUAUAAGAACUGGAGACUGUUUUAGCUGAAAAAUGGACAAAAAUUCCUUUGGAAAUAAUUCAAACGUUGUACAAGUCCAUACCUCAUAGAAUUCAAGCUGUAAUUACUGCCAAAGGUGGUCCUACCCCAUAUUAAAAUAAAAUUUAUUUGAAAUUCUAA